CAGGAGACUAGGACUCACUGCAGAGGUUCUAGUAACGUCCCCUUUCCUUGUUCCCUACAACCCCUGCCUUGAAAAAUAAUAAAAUUUACAGCAGAAGCAUUUUAUCCAAGUCAAUUCUCUUCUCUGUGGUUGCUGGAUUCCAGGACCAGAUUUCCAUCUCUCCUGGAUGGAAGAAAUACUGGGCCUGUGAGUUGUGAUCCUUCCUGGGGUGUGGCUCACCUUGUGUCUCAGCCAGUCAUCUGACGCAUUUUGGCUUUCAUUUUAUCUGCAGCUGCUGAGAAGUGUGCAGCUUUUCUCCACCAUGCCCUUCAGCCUAAUGUUUCUGCCUUGGACCCAGCUGACCAUGGACUGAAACUGCUGAAACUGUGAGCCAAAAUAAAUUUUCUCUUCUAAUUUGACUUUUUCAGGUAUAUGGUCGCAGGACAAAAAUCUAAUAUAGCAGUACUUUUCAAAGCAUGUUCAAAUACAUUAUCAAAUUGCAACCACAGCUGUCUUACUGUUAUAGAGUAGAAAGGUGAGCAAGAGUUAAUAUUCAG
ensembl:lncRNA